CAAAAAAUGAAGCGAUGUGAUUCCUGCAGCCGACGAUAAGACACGCCUCCUUAUCCGGAUGCCCCUCCUGAUUGGUCGGCUGCAGAAGGGCGGAGCUGAGUGCGUGCGAAGAGGAAGGCUUGGCGGUGGAGUAGGAGGGGCCAGGCGUCUCAACGAGCUACUGUGAUUGGCUGAAGAUGCUCUGGGAGACCUCAUUCAUCAACGCAUCGGCUCUUGCGGCGAGCUCCGCCCACCAUAGGUGCACGUCUUCGCUUGGCGCGGCGUGUGCUCCUUGCAGGAUGGCGGGAAAGGGCAGUCGACCUUGUAGUUGGACCACUCCUUGGGAAGCAGAAGCGGUGCAGGCAGCAGUCCAGGUACGCAACGUUGUAAAGGCGGUCCAGGCGGAUUGCACACUUGGAGUCCGGUGACACGUCCUCCGCCGCCAUCGCCGAAGCCCUCCAGGCCGCUUUCGCCGACACCCUCCAGGCUCCGCCUCCCAAAGUCCUGACGGGAGGUCGUUCGCUGCGUUUUCACGGCGGCGGGAGGGCAGCGACAUUCGUGUGGACGCCAUCACCUGGAUGGGAGAAAACAAUAAGUCCUCUGACAGAAAAGAAACACCACUCCCCAGAAAGAACAAACCAAGCAGAUGAUUUAGAAUUUCAGUCAAAGUUGCUUGAAAAAUCUGGACCCACUCUUGUGAAAAGUGGAGCUUAGGGAACGACAGGUCCUGCAUCUACCUUCUCAACUGCUCCUCCAGAAUGGGACCUGACGUGGAGCAUCAGGGAAGAGGUGGAGAGGCUGAUGAAGGAGCAGAACAAAACCCUGUCUGCUAACAGCAAAGCAAAGAAACAACAGGCCCUCCAUGGUUCAUCCUCCUCAUCCUCAGUGAAAAACGCAGCGUGUGUUCAGUGAGAGGGAGGGGAGUGGACAUCAGACGGACACAGACGGCAGCUUCUACUACACCAGGGAUGAACAGAGGCAAAAACAGGUCCACCUUCCCUCCUCCUGGUCCCCCACAACAGCCACAGCCUAAAUCUAAAGUCGUCAAGAGCCGAGAUGAGGCCAGAUCUCCAGACUUUCCUGUGAGGGUGAGCAGUGAGCUGAUAUCAUCGGUGCAGUCCUUGGUGGAUGUUCUUUCACAGCAGACACACACUAGCAGAAGUCCCCAUGAAGGAUGUCCUCCAAUCAGCUCCCAGGAACCUUGUCCACAUGUCCGUACCAUGAGAACACAUUCUAGAUUAAGUGUUACAUCAGCUAGAGCGAAACUUCCCUCACACAGGUUCAGCUAUCAUUCCUGGCAUUAAUAUGGAGCAUUAGUACACAAACUAACCUGCAUUUCUAUUAUCUACACCAGUGGUCCUCGAACUCACUUUCAAGCCCCACCAACUUUCAUUGCCCCCCAAAUAUUCCUGACAGCAAUAUUUCAUGUUUUAUGAUGAAUCAAAAAUCAAAACCUAAAUUUAACCAACUAGUACAGUGCCCGUCGGAAAUAUGUAUUCAUUUUGUGGGAGGAGCUUAAGUAGAGUUGUCAAAAUAAUGAGAAUCGAGUGACUAUAAAAUAAAAAAAGUAAUAUAACAAUAAAACA
ensembl:lncRNA